rnacentral:rRNA from 1 species
UACGGGGGGGGGCAAGCGUUGUUCGGAAUUACUGGGCGUAAAGGGCGCGUAGGCGGUUUGCUAAGUUGAAUGUGAAAACUCUGGGCUUAAUCCAGAGCCUGCAUUCAAUACUGGCAGGCUAGAGUUCUGGAGGGGAUAGCGGAAUUCCUGGUGUAGCGGUGAAAUGCGUAGAUAUCAGGAGGAACACCGGUGGCGAAGGCGGCUAUCUGGACAGAGUCUGACGCUGAGGCGCGAAAGCUAGGGGAGCAAACAGG